rnacentral:rRNA from 1 species
UACGUAGGGUCCGAGCGUUGUCCGGAAUUACUGGGCGUAAAGAGCUCGUAGGUGGUUUGUCGCGUUGUUCGUGAAAACUCACAGCUCAACUGUGGGCGUGCGGGCGAUACGGGCAGACUAGAGUACUGCAGGGAGACUGGAAUUCCUGGUGUAGCGGUGGAAUGCGCAGAUAUCAGGAGGAACACCGGUGGCGAAGGCGGGUCUCUGGCAGUAACUGACGCUGAGGAGCGAAAGCGUGGGGAGCGAACAGG